UACAGAGGGGGCAAGCGUUGUUCGGAAUUACUGGGCGUAAAGGGCGCGUAGGCGGCCGCCUAAGUCAGACGUGAAAUCCCUCGGCUCAACCGGGGAACUGCGUCUGAUACUGGGUGGCUUGAAUUCGGGAGAGGGAUGCGGAAUUCCAGGUGUAGCGGUGAAAUGCGUAGAUAUCUGGAGGAACACCGGUGGCGAAGGCGGCAUCCUGGACCGACACUGACGCUGAGGUGCGAAAGCUAGGGGAGCAAACGGG
rnacentral:rRNA from 1 species